rnacentral:rRNA from 1 species
CCCUUAGACGUUCUGGGCCGCACGCGCGCUACACUGACCAGUGCAACAAGCAUCCGUCCUUGGCCGACAGGCUCGGGCAAUCUUUGAACGCUGGUCGUGAUGGGGAUAGACUUUUGCAAUUUUUGGUCUUCAACGAGGAAUUCCUAGUAAACGCAAGUCGUCAACUUGCAUUGAUUACGUCCCUGCCCUUUGUACACACCGCCCGUCGCACCUACCGAUUGAAUGGUCCGGUGAAGCCUCCGGAUUGGCGCGCACCUCGGUGCCGCCGAGAAGUUGGCUAAACCUUACCAUUUAGAGGAAGGUGAAGUCGUAACA